CCAAAAUUAAAACCAAUUAACCAAGGGCUGAACGGAAUUGUUGAAGGCGAAGGGCGAUUGUCAAGACAGUGGACUAGUGCCUGGUAGAGUGGUGCGAGUUGAGUAGAUGGUGAGUCGGUGACCGGUGAGCCAUGAGUCCAUGACCGACAAGGAGGUGGACGAUGGAGUGGUGCGAUCGUGCAACUGUGAGAGUUGAGUGGACGUCGAUGGCUGCGAGUGCGACUUCUUGCCUUGGUGAGCUAUUCUAGCUUUUAUUUUAUUUUAUUUUUUUCUUUUUGAUUUUGAUGAUUUCAUUUGAUUGUUAUGUUAAAUGUGAUGAUUAUGAUUUAUGAAAAUCGGGGGAUUUGUAAAUUUUGUAAAUAUGUGAAUUGGGAAUUUUAUGAUUUGUGAGAAAUGUUCAAUUUGUGUUGGAAAUUAGAAAUUGGAAAUUGAUGAUAGUUUAAGUCUUUAAGAUUAAGUUUAAUUUAUGGUUAAUUUUCAUACAGAUUAUGUUCACUGGGAAAAUUACUGCCGAUCUUGAUUCUUGAGGUUAAUCGACACUUUUGUCUUCAUUUUAUGUUAUUUUAUUUAUUUAUUAUUAUUAUUAUUAUUUUUUUUUGGCAUUGAGGUGAGGUCCUUGUAUGAUGAAUAAAUGAGAUUUGUGAUUUGUGAUUUAUGAUAAAUAAUUUAUGUUGUAGGAGUUAUGAGUUAUAAUUUAUCAUUCAUGAUAGUUGAUUUGUGAUUUGGGAAUUUACGUUUAGGAAAUUAUGAGAUCCCGUAGAAUGCUGUUGUCUAAGUUUAUAGUAUUGUACAUUUUUUUUUUCUUUUUAGUAUUUUGGGUUGUAUUGAUUUAUAUUUUCAUAUGUAUAUACUUUUUAGAAUCGCACUACACAUACAGAAUGGGGACUCAUAGAGGCUGUACAGACUACACACAAAGAGGGGAGGUGGGCAUUUUUUGGCAAUUUUUUAUCAUCUGUGGGGCCUUUAUGAGGCCGACCCCAUGGGUCUGCUCUGUAGGAGUUCUGUUAAAAACUCCUCUGUACAUAUGGUUUUUCUCUACAUUUUAUGUUUUAGUACAUUUACAUAUGUAUUGAAUUAUAUUUACUAUCGUUGAUUGUCAACGGUCAUUGGUCAACGGUUACAGGUCAGCGAUCAAUCUCUCCGCCCUAGCUGAACUACAAUGUUGGAUUCGCCCAUGAUCUUACAUAAAAAAAAAAAAAAAAAGAGCAAAGGCAUUGAUGGGACACGUGUCGCAAAUUUGUAUCAUCCCUUACUUUUUUUUUUUUAAAUAUUAUGUUGGGGCAUUGGAAGGAAGUAUGGGGCAAUCGG
rnacentral:lncRNA from 1 species